rnacentral:rRNA from 1 species
CUACGGGGUGCACCAGUGGGGAAUAUUGCACAGUGGGCGCAAGCCUGAUGCAGCAACGCCGCGUGAGGGAUGAAGGCCUUCGGGUUGUAAACCUCUUUUAGCAGGGAAGAAGUGAAAGUGACGGUACCUGCAGAAAAAGCACCGGCUAACUACGUGCCAGCAGCCGCGGUAAUACGUAGGGUGCAAGCGUUGUCCGGAAUUAUUGGGCGUAAAGAGCUCGUAGGCGGUUUGUCACGUCUGCUGUGAAAAUCCAAGGCUCAACCUUGGACUUGCAGUGGGUACGGGCAGGCUAGAGUGCGGUAGGGGGGAUGGGAAUUCCUGGUGUAGCGGUGGAAUGCGCAGAUAUCAGGAGGAACACCAAUGGCGAAGGCACAUCUCUGGGCCGUAACUGACGCUGAGGAGCGAAAGCGUGGGGAGCGAACAGGAUUAGAUACCCUGGUAGUC